UACAGAGGGUGCAAGCGUUAAUCGGAAUUACUGGGCGUAAAGGGCGCGUAGGUUGUUGUUUAAGUGAGAUGUGAAAGCCCCGGGCUCAACCUGGGAACUGCAUCCAAAACUGGCAAGCUAGAGUAUGGUAGAGGGUGGUGGAAUUUCCUGUGUAGCGGUGAAAUGCGUAGAUAUAGGAAGGAACACCAGUGGCGAAGGCGACCACCUGGACUGAUACUGACACUGAGGUGCGAAAGCGUGGGGAGCAAACAGG
rnacentral:rRNA from 1 species